CCUACGGGAGGCAGCAGUAAGGAAUAUUGGUCAAUGGACGCAAGUCUGAACCAGCCAUGCCGCGUGCAGGAAGACGGCCCUACGGGUUGUAAACUGCUUUUGUACCGGAAUAAACCUUUUCACGUGUGAGAAGCUGAAUGUACGGUAAGAAUAAGGAUCGGCUAACUCCGUGCCAGCAGCCGCGGUAAU
rnacentral:rRNA from 1 species